GGUGGUUCAGAGUGCUCUGGGCGGCGCGCGGCGUGCAGGUCGCAGCUGUGGCUCGGGUGCUGGCAGGUGCUGGCGGGACUGGCGGGGAUCGCCGUGGACUGCCUCAGGGGCGCCGCCGCCCGCCGGGCCCGAGGGCCCGCCUAACCGCGCCGCCCGCGCCCGCUCCUCCUCGGCCCGCGCCCGGGGCGCGGGGGCCGCCGGCGCUGGGCACUCGGCGGCCACCGGGGAUCGGGGCUGAGCGGCCGGUUCCCGCCCCCGUGCCGCCGCCGCCGCCGCCGCCACCUCCCAGCCGACCGCCCGGCUUGGCCGCCGCCGCCCCGUCUGGCCCCCGGGUCCGCGCCGCUGGGGGCGCGGGCGGGGUCGGGGGUUGCCGGGCGCCGCCGCCCGUGCGCCUGGAGUCCACGUCUCGGGCCCGGCGGCCGGCGAGCAUGGAGGAGAAGUACCUGCCCGAGCUGAUGGCGGAGAAGGACUCCCUGGACCCCUCCUUCACGCACGCCCUGCGCCUGGUGAACCAAGAAAUAGAAAAGUUUCAAAAAGGAGAAGGCAAGGAUGAAGAAAAGUACAUCGAUGUGGUGAUUAAUAAGAACAUGAAGCUGGGACAGAAAGUGUUAAUUCCUGUAAAACAGUUCCCUAAGUUCAACUUUGUGGGGAAACUUUUGGGUCCACGUGGCAAUUCUCUGAAGCGUUUACAAGAAGAAACCUUGACAAAAAUGUCCAUCCUUGGGAAAGGUUCCAUGAGAGACAAGGCCAAGGAAGAAGAGUUGAGGAAAAGUGGAGAAGCGAAGUACUUCCAUCUCAAUGAUGAUCUCCACGUUCUCAUUGAAGUGUUUGCCCCACCUGCAGAAGCUUAUGCCAGGAUGGGACAUGCUUUGGAAGAAAUCAAAAAGUUCCUCAUCCCUGAUUAUAAUGAUGAGAUCAGGCAAGCACAGCUCCAGGAGUUAACAUAUUUGAAUGGUGGUUCAGAAAAUGCAGAUGUUCCAGUGGUUCGAGGGAAACCCACCUUGCGUACAAGAGGUGUACCAGCCCCAGCAAUAACAAGGGGAAGGGGAGGAGUUACAGCCCGGCCAGUUGGAGUUGUAGUACCACGAGGGACGCCAACUCCCAGAGGAGUCCUGUCCACCCGAGGGCCAGUGAGUCGGGGAAGAGGACUUCUCACUCCCAGAGCAAGAGGAGUCCCCCCAACUGGGUACAGACCUCCACCGCCACCCCCGACACAAGAGACUUAUGGAGAAUAUGACUAUGAUGAUGGAUAUGGCACUGCUUAUGAUGAACAGAGUUAUGAUUCCUAUGAUAACAGCUAUAGCACCCCAGCCCAAAGUGGUGCUGAUUACUAUGAUUACGGACAUGGACUCAGUGAGGAGACUUAUGAUUCCUACGGGCAAGAAGAGUGGACUAACUCAAGACACAAGGCACCUUCAGCGAGGACAGCAAAGGGCGUCUACAGAGACCAGCCAUAUGGCAGAUACUGAUUGUACUGUCUGAUGUUGUGAAAUAGCCAAUCUCCACCAGUCCUGUAUACUGUUCAAAGAAAUGUCAGCCAUCUUGGAAUGUCACACGAACUGGUUGAACACCUGAAGCAAACAAAGGAACUUUCCUUCUAUUUAUGGACUGCUUAAGAAUAGUCAACUCACCAACGUGCCUAGUCAGUAAAUGAAUCCACUUGGGAACUUGAAAAACAUCUUAAUUAAUUUUUUGUUUGCAUAAUUUUGUGUUCUGUGACAUGUUUUUAUUAUAUGGUAUGCUUUUAAUUUGGAGAACCUACCUUUUUAAAAAACGGAAAGAAAAUCUAUCUUAUUUUGUUGUCUCCCAAUAACAAAAAGAGGACGAUUUGUAUAGUAGUUAAUAAAGGCUGCCUAUUGAAAUCUCUUCUACUUUAAACCUAGAAAAACAAA